rnacentral:rRNA from 1 species
UACGGAGGGAGCUAGCGUUGUUCGGAAUUACUGGGCGUAAAGCGCACGUAGGCGGCUUUUUAAGUCAGGGGUGAAAUCCCGGGGCUCAACCCCGGAACUGCCCUUGAAACUGGAGAGCUAGAAUCUUGGAGAGGCGAGUGGAACUGCGAGUGUAGAGGUGAAAUUCGUAGAUAUUCGCAAGAACACCAGUGGCGAAGGCGGCUCACUGGCCCGAUACUGACGCUGAGGUGCGAAAGCGUGGGGAGCAAACAGG